rnacentral:rRNA from 1 species
CUAGCCCUACGGGAGGCAGCAGUCGAGAAUCAUUCACAAUGGGGGAAACCCUGAUGGUGCGACGCCGCGUGGGGGAAUGAAGGUCUUCGGAUUGUAAACCCCUGUCAUGUGGGAGCAAAUUAAAAAGAUAGUACCACAAGAGGAAGAGACGGCUAACUCUGUGCCAGCAGCCGCGGUAAUACAGAGGUCUCAAGCGUUGUUCGGACUCACUGGGCGUAAAGCGUGCGUAGGCUGUUUCGUAAGUCGUGUGUGAAGGGCGCGGGCUCAACCCGCGGACGGCACAUGAUAAUGCGAGACUGGAGUAA